ensembl:misc_RNA Metazoa_SRP Metazoan signal recognition particle RNA
GCUGGGCAUGGUGGUGCUUGCCUGUAGUCCCAGCUACUCAGGAGACUGAGGUGGGAGGAUUGCUUGAGCCCAGGAGUUCGAGGCAGCAGUGAACUUGGAUUGCACCACUGCACUCCAGCCUGGGAGACAGAGUAAGACCCUAUCUCUU